AGAGUUUGAUCCUGGCUCAGAUUGAACGCUGGCGGCAUGCUUUACACAUGCAAGUCGAACGGCAGCACGGGCUUCGGCCUGGUGGCGAGUGGCGAACGGGUGAGUAAUGCAUCGGAACGUACCGUGUAGUGGGGGAUAACGUAGCGAAAGUUACGCUAAUACCGCAUACGCCCCGAGGGGGAAAGUGGGGGACCGCAAGGCCUCACGCUAUAUGAGCGGCCGAUGUCGGAUUAGCUAGUUGGUAGGGUAAAGGCCUACCAAGGCGACGAUCCGUAGCGGGUCUGAGAGGAUGAUCCGCCACACUGGGACUGAGACACGGCCCAGACUCCUACGGGAGGCAGCAGUGGGGAAUUUUGGACAAUGGGCGCAAGCCUG
rnacentral:rRNA from 1 species